AAAAAACCGUGCCAAAAAAACCCUACGAUCGAUGCCUCGUAAUCAUGGUGAAGGAGCGACGACCCCUCGAUCUAUUCGCGACGCGAACGCCGCCGCCUGGCAGAUCCCAGGCGCUAGCCGUGGAUCCCUUUGCCGGCUCCGAGGGGUCGUGGAGGCGCCGCCGCCGAGGUCCUAAAGGAGGUGCCGCCGCCAUCGUUGUGGACCUCCGGGUCGCCACCGGGACACCUCUGCUGAGGUCCUUGGGGUUGGGUGCGGCAACUCGCGACUCGAAGAUGAUCUUUUCUGGUAGGGCGUCGCCGGCGGCGGCGGCACCUGCAUAGACCGUCUCGGUGCAACAGAAGAGUUCGGAGUUCACUCCCCGAGAGAACAGCUCUGCAUGUACAUUUGUUGAAAGACUGAUCUGCUGAACUUUCGAUGAUUUCGAUUUGUCUCUGACAUAACCUUUCCUCUUUUCGUUGAUACGUCCGAAAGAGAUCCUUAUUUCACCUUUUGUUUAUAGGUAUUCAACGUGAGGAAUUUCAUACUUUUGGAGUGGAGGAGUAAAUUGCACAAAAGUACCACAAUUGGGGCAUUGGAAACAGAUUGGUACCAAGUUUCGUAAUUUUUACAUGUCAGUACCAAGUCUGGGACUAGACGGUACAAAAAGAAACCCCCCGCACGGUGGCGCCCGGUCUGGAUCGAGGGGAGGAUCCCUCGAGCCCGAGCUCCCACUCGCAUCACCGCGGCCCCCGCUUGCGCCGGAGCUGCCCCUGCUCGCACCGCCGCGGCAUCUGCUCAUGCCGUCGUGGCCUCUACUCGCGCCUUCCCUCUCCGCCGCGGCCUCUCCUCGCGUCGUGGCCUCUCCCCCCUCCGCGGCGGCGCCCGAUCUGGAUCGAGGGGAGGAGCCCCUCGAGCCCGUGCUCCUUCGCCUCCCGUAACCCCCGCCCCGCCCUGGCCUCCUCCUCGCCACGCGUGAGGACGAAGGAGGUGCGGGGGGUUUCUGCAAAAAAAAGUGCCACGUCAGCAGCUGACAGGCGGGCCCCGCCGGUCAGAUACACGGUCAAUACACGUUUAUACGCGAUUUAGACCUUUUUGUAACGUCUAGCCCCAGACUUGGUACUGACACGUAAAAAUUACCAAACUUGGUAUCAAUCUGCUUCCAAUGCCCCAAUUGUGGUACUUCUGUGCAAUUUACUCGGGGUGGAGCUAUCAAAUAUAUGUGUGCUCGAUGUUGGUCUUUUAAUCCGGAUCCCUCGCUGAAGGUGCUUGAUGUUGGUGUUUGAAUACUGCUGCUGUACUUCAAGUCUAUGAAGAAUUACAAGGAGGAGGAUAAUAGAGCAGCAACUAGAGCUGACCAUUGGCCUAUAAAUGCAGCAAUGUUCUUCUAGAGGUGUGAUGUUGGUGGUGAUUUUCUUAUCCGGGGAUAUGGAUGGGGCGGGUCUGUGGGCACCAUGCUGACGCGGAGAAGGAGGUGCAGGUAGCAGGGUGCUUGAGGUGAGGUGGCUGCAGGGUUGCUCGAGAAGAACAGGCUCAUCAGCACCACCUAGAUGCCUUUGUCAUCAGCAAUGUGGACAAGAAAGCUUUCAGACGAUACUCACACCAUCCGAUUCCUUGAAACAUGAAGUGUUUAUCUGAUCUGUUACAAUCCAAGGCUAUAUAGAAUGUUUGCAUGUUUUAAUCAAGAAGUCCUCAAUAGGUGGACUGGCUCAAAAUGGAGAAGCAUGCUGGUAGCUCUUCUGUUGAUUGUAUUAAGCAUUUAAGUUCGUAGCAAUUCAUAAUGUCAAUAUCUUUGGGAUGCUUUGUAAUAUUUUAGAAAACUGUGUUUUUUUGGCCU